AUCCUCUCAGGAUCGCACCUGGAGAGUUUCCACUACUCUACCAGUCUUGACAAUGGGAGGGAAAGUCAAGCAGAGUGAUACCCAAUCCAUUCCUAACUUGAGCAGUGGCUAGCGAGUGGAAGGCAAUCUGCUACAUGU